UACGUAGGGGGCAAGCGUUGUUCGGAUUCAUUGGGCGUAAAGGGUGCGUAGGCGGCGCGGUAAGUCGGGUGUGAAAUCUCGGGGCUUAACUCCGAAACUGCAUUCGAUACUGCGGUGCUUGGAGGAGCUGGAGAGGAGUACUGGUGAAUUCCUGGUGGUAGGCGGUAGAAAUGCGCAGAUAUCAGGAGGAACACCGAUGGCGAAGGCAGGUCUCUGGGCCAUAACUGACGCUGAGAAGCGAAAGCAUGGGGAGCGAUCCGG
rnacentral:rRNA from 1 species